rnacentral:rRNA from 1 species
GACGAACGCUGGCGGCGUGCUUAACACAUGCAAGUCGAACGGAAAGGCCCUGCUUUUGUGGGGUGCUCGAGUGGCGAAAGGGUGAGUAACACGUGAGUAACCUGUCCUUGACUUUGGGAUAACUUCAGGAAACUGGGGCUAAUAUCGGAUAGGAGCUCCUGCUGCAUGGUGGGGGUUGGAAAGUUUCGGCGGUUGGGGAUGGACUCGCGGCUUAUCAGCUUGUUGGUGGGGUAGUGGCUUACCAAGGCUUUGACGGGUAGCCGGCCUGAGAGGGUGACCGGCCACAUUGGGACUGAGAUACGGCCCAGACUCCUACGGGAGGCAGCAGUGGGGAAUAUUGCACAAUGGGCGGAAGCCUGAUGCAGCACCGCCGCGUGCGGGAGGACGGCCUUCGGGUUGUAAACCGCUUUCGCCUGUGACGAAGCGUGAGUGACGGUAAUGGGUAAAGAAGCACCGGCUAACUACGUGC